rnacentral:lncRNA from 1 species
GUUCGGUUCGGAAUUAUUCCGACGGUGCUUCGUGAGCUUUUGCGUAGUCGCUGAGCCUUGUUGGCUGGUCACUUACGUCAUUUCGAGAGUUCGGAAAUGACGGGUGAGCGACGGUGGGUUCCGGUGUCGAAUUAGACACUUCCGGGAACCCGAAUCGAAACGAUUAUCCGACGAUAAUUGUUUCGACACGAGGAGUUGUGUUCGCUGCCAUGAUGCACGAUUAUUUAUGUUUAGUGGCAG